rnacentral:lncRNA from 1 species
CCAGCCUCACGGAGGAGAACGACUUGCCCAAGCUGACUCUGCUGGGAAGGAAUGGCGGAGGGAUUUGAAACCAGGACUUUUCCCUCUACUUCGCCUGGCUCCAGGCUCCCCAGGGCCCCAGGGACCCUCUCUGCGCCCCUACGCGACCAGUGCUGUGACUUCCUCCCUGAGCAGCCCCGGCUGCGCCUCCAGGGACCGGCUGGGUUUGGAGGCAGCGGCUGGCUAAGUGAUGCAGGUAAAGGCGGGUUUGUCUGUCUGCAGUCCCUGCUUCUUCCCACUGAUUCUCUCGUCUCCCCGGAGCCCCAGCUUUUUAAGGCUUCCACGUCUUGACAUUGGCGACGCCACCGAAAUGAAGACAUUCUCAAGCAAUCAGGUAACUGGGGUUGUGCAGUGAUUUGCUCCGGUUCCUACAGCCGAAGGUCCAGCACUCACUAGCCGAAGGAGGGAGGAAUCUCGCCGGGUGAAUGCCAUUCUCUGUGUUUCACAUCCACGAACCAGAGAAUCUUGCUAUGACCAGGUGCUAAAACCUGAAGAAAUGUUCCUUGGCUGCUUCCUCACUGGACUUGUGCUGAGGUAUCUAAAUGUCUACUGGUGUGAGCCAACGGAGGUGAGGGACAGUCAGAUGGUGAUAACAAGGACACCUACCAUUUCUGGAAUACUUACUGGAUGCCAGGCGCUCUGAGAAAGUCUUUAUAGCGUUUCAUCCUCACAAACCCAGGAGGCAGAAUAAAGCGGCAAUGACCCAGUGAGGAAGGAAAAUGAGCACAGCCUGCCCUGGUCACACAAUUAAAACAUAUACGCUGGCCAAAGGUACUUCCCUCCUCCACCUCUUCCUUCAGAGAGAGAAGGGCCCUUUUUGACCUGGAAGCCUAUUAAAGCAUUCCACUGGGGAAUUCUCUGACCCUUCUGAAGGGAUGCUGUGAGAAACCUUGUUCCUUAGAAUGCAGCCACACAAAGGGUUUUGUGCAAAUACUGAG